AGAAGAGAGAGGAAGCCGGUGAGCAGGAAUAGAGUAGAAAAGGACAACGAUGUGGUUUAUUCAGCUUCUCCAGCUCACGGAAUAUGGGAGGUGGAUUGUCCAUCUCACCCUCCUCCGAGCUCUCCCCAUCGGCCCGAUCUGCUCUCUCCAUGCCAGCUGAAGCCCGCUCUCUCUCCAGAUCUCCCAUGGCCUGGAUCAGCAGUUCUUUCGAUAACCCUGAGCCCAGUAGAGACCAGACCAGCUGCUCUUGCAAGGCCGACAGUUGGCUGCUUCGUUCUCCGCCAGCUCUCCUGUCAUCUCCUCCAUCCAUCUCACGUUUUCUGGUGUCUCAGCAGCCGUUGUUCCUCUGACUUGGUCCCAGAUCUUGGAGAAGGCACCUAUGUGUGCGCAUACACACAAGGAAAGGGAAUCACAAGCUUUGUCUGUGUCUCUGGAAGCAAUCGAACACAAACACACACUUUGGUGUGCAAACAGUUGUGAUGUGCACACACAUACUGUAGAAGCCAAAACAAUAUUGCACUCGUUCAAAAUGUACCUGUUUCCAGAAUUGGAGCUCAGUGGUCUCUCUUCUUGAUUAAGAUCUCAUUUAUGCAAAGAUUUCAUUUUUUCCCUUUUCUAGUGUUCCUCUAUUUGUGCUCCUGUAUGAUGUCUAGACACCUGUUGCUCUUUUACUUUAAAAUGUGUUUUUUUUAUUUCCCAACUUGUUUUUCCCUUCAUUCCCUCCUCCCUUACUCUGUCGCUAUGUCUCUCUUUCUCUCCCUCACUCUUGGUGAACUUUGGCUACAACCCUUGUUGAGGGCAAAGGUAGAGUCUAACCAUUCUGUGAAAAUUAACAUUAAGAACACAUUAAAAACUUGCAGUGAA